rnacentral:rRNA from 1 species
GUAGGGGGCAAGCGUUGUCCGGAUUCAUUGGGCGUAAAGAGCGUGUAGGCGGCCAGGUAGGUCGGUUGUGAAAACUGGAGGCUCAACCUUCAGACGUCGACCGAAACCAUCUGGCUAGAGUCCGGGAGAGGAGAGUGGAAUUCCUGGUGUAGCGGUGAAAUGCGCAGAUAUCAGGAAGAACACCCGUGGCGAAAGCGGCUCUCUGGAACGGUACUGACGCUGAGACGCGAAAGCGUGGGGAGCGAACAGGAUUAGAUACCCUGGUAGUCCACGCCGUAAACGAUGGGCGCUAGGUGUGGGAGGUGUCGACUCCUCCCGUGCCGCAGCUAACGCAUUAAGCGCCCCGCCUGGGGAGUACGGCCGCAAGGCUAAA